rnacentral:lncRNA from 1 species
AAAAAAAUUAAAUAGCUUGUUUUAUUUUUCAAAUUUACAUUUCUAAUUGUGAUACAUGUUUAUAUUGUAGGUUUUUGAUCAAAGAAGUGUGCCCACAAAUUUUGGACAUCAAGAGGAGCAUACGUGAUUGAUGAAGAAUUUAGUACAUUAUGGAAAUGUUUUUUGACUUAUUUUAUGCUUUGUGAGCAAUAUGUUAUGUUUUCAUUUGUAGUACCUAUUUGUCUUAUAUUGCUUCCUUGUAAUUUUUUAACUCAUAUUUUGUGUUUAAUUUGAAUUUCAAUGUGUUUACUUGAUAUAUUUUGGUAUACUUUUAUAAAUAUUUUGAUAUAUCUUGUCAA